UACGGAGGGGGCUAGCGUUGUUCGGAAUUACUGGGCGUAAAGCGCGCGUAGGCGGCUUUGUAAGUCAGAGGUGAAAGCCCAGGGCUUAACCCUGGAAUUGCCUUUAAAACUGCAUCGCUAGAAUUGUGGAGAGGUGAGUGGAAUUCCGAGUGUAGCGGUGAAAUUCGUAGAUAUUCGGAAGAACACCAGUGGCGAAGGCGACUCACUGGACUCAUAUUGACGCUGAGGUGCGAAAGCGUGGGGAGCAAACAGG
rnacentral:rRNA from 1 species